GCCUUCUUGGCUAAGUGGCAUAGCGCAUCACUAGUAAUUGAAUGAUCAAUUACGCCAUGAUGAGGUCACUAGUUCGAUUCUGGUAGAAGGCA